UACGUAGGGUGCAAGCGUUAAUCGGAAUUACUGGGCGUAAAGCGUGCGCAGGCGGUUAUAUAAGUCAGACGUGAAAUCCCCGGGCUCAACCUGGGAACUGCAUUUGAGACUGUAUGGCUAGAGUGCGGCAGAGGGGGGUAGAAUUCCACGUGUAGCAGUGAAAUGCGUAGAUAUGUGGAGGAAUACCGAUGGCGAAGGCAGCCCCCUGGGAUGACACUGACGCUCAUGCACGAAAGCGUGGGGAGCAAACAGG
rnacentral:rRNA from 1 species